rnacentral:rRNA from 1 species
UACGUAGGGUGCAAGCGUUGUCCGGAAUUAUUGGGCGUAAAGAGCUCGUAGGCGGUUUGUCGCGUCGAAUGUGAAAACCCGGGGCUCAACCCCGGGCCUGCAUUCGAUACGGGCAGACUAGAGUUCGGUAGGGGAGUCUGGAAUUCCUGGUGUAGCGGUGAAAUGCGCAGAUAUCAGGAGGAACACCGGUGGCGAAGGCGGCAUCCUGGACCGGUAUUGACGCUGAGGCGCGAAAGCUAGGGGAGCAAACGGG